GGCCCUAUGGCGCAACGGUAGCGCGUUUGACUCCAGAUCAAAAGGUUAUCCGUUCAAAUCGGGUUGGGGUCA
rfam:Ceratocystis platani strain CFO contig_00093, whole genome shotgun sequence.